AAGACACGCAUCGCGUUGGAGGCGAAUGGUAGUUUACGUGUUCCGUGUGUCGGGGUUGUGUUUAUCGCGGCUGUGACGAACUUCUCUUCGUCGUGUACCCGAUGGCAGAGAACACUGCGACUAAAAUGCCAUGGCCCCAUUUGUCAAAGUUUUACGAGCUGUGUACCGAAGACUCAGACACGUGCAACUUGAAAUUCGGGUGCCUCCUGUGCGCUCCUGCGGGAAAAUUCAUUCGGACGUCGAACUCUUCGAAUGGCAAUUUGAGGAAGCACAUAAAGGCAAGACAUCCGUCACAUGUAAGUGGCCUGAAGGAAUCGAAGACACAGACGGCAAUGACCGCAGUGGAUCCAGGUGUGAACGCUGGGCCGUCUAAGCAGCCCAAGAUAUCUGAAGUAACAAGGGGUAGAUCCUGGAUUUCACAGGCGCAGUGGGAUUCGUUAAUCCACGACUUUAUUGUUGGGACAUUACAACCAUUCUCGGUGUUAGAUCAUCCGAACACGAGAGCUCUCCUCGUAGCGGCAAAGCCUAACUUGAAGCCGGUAACACGUGACAUGUUCAUGAAGCGACUGGAUACGUCAUACGACGGUAUGCUCGGCAAGCUUCGCAGCGUUCUUGUGAGAUGCACACAUGUGGCCCUGACUGCGGAUUGCUGGACCACAUUUCACAGGUACUUCACAGCUGUCAAGGCAGCA